rnacentral:rRNA from 1 species
CCUACGGGUGGCUGCAGUGAGGAAUAUUGGUCAAUGGACGAGAGUCUGAACCAGCCAAGUAGCGUGAAGGAUGACUGCCCUAUGGGUUGUAAACUUCUUUUAUAAAGGAAUAAAACGAGGCACGUGUGCCUAUUUGCAUGUACUUUAUGAAUAAGGAUCGGCUAACUCCGUGCCAGCAGCCGCGGUAAUACGGAGGAUCCGAGCGUUAUCCGGAUUUAUUGGGUUUAAAGGGAGCGUCGAGUGGUUGUUAAGUCAGUUGUGAAAGUUUGCGGCUCAACCGUAAAAUUGCAAUUGAUACUGGCAGUCUUGAGUACAGUUGAGGUAGGCGGAAUUCGUGGUGUAGCGGUGAAAUGCUUAGAUAUCACGAAGAACCCCGAUUGCGAAGGCAGCUUACUAAACUGUGACUGACAUUGAUGCUCGAAAGUGUGGGGAUCAAACAGGAUUAGAUACCCUGGUAGUC